rnacentral:rRNA from 1 species
AAACAUAGUUUUGAGAUUUUUCAUUAAUUCAAAAUUUCCCCUGCCCACUGAACUUAUUUAUAUUUAAAUGGCCGCAGUACUUUGACUGUGCUAAGGUAGCAUAAUAAAUUGGCUUUUAAUUGAAGUCGAGAAUGAACGGGAUUUUAAUCAGAAUCUGUCUCAAAUAUAGAUUUAUAGAAAUUACUUAUUAGGUGAAAAUUCCUAUGAUUAUAUAUAAUAGACGAGAAGACCCUUAGAGUUUUUAUUAAUAAAGUAAUAAAUUUAAAAUAUUUAGAAGUUUCUACCUAUUGAAUACUAAUCUUUAAAUUUUUGUUGGGGCAACAAGUAAACAGAAAAAUAAAACUUUACCAAAUAGAUAUUAAGUAAUAUAUACAUGUAGCUCUAUAAGACAAAAUAAUUUUUUGAGUAAUUAAGACUACCUAAGGGAUAACAGCAUAAUUUAACAUAUAAGAUUAUGACCUCGAUGUUGGAUUAGGGCCUAGCUAGGUUAACCACUUAGAAAGAAGUGUUCUGUUCGAACAACUGUUCUCCUACAUGAUC